rnacentral:rRNA from 1 species
AUUGAACGCUGGCGGCAGGCCUAACACAUGCAAGUCGAGCGAGCGGCGGACGGGUGAGUAAUGUCUGGGAAACUGCCUGAUGGAGGGGGAUAACUACUGGAAACGGUAGCUAAUACCGCAUACCAUCAGAUGUGCCCAGAUGGGGUUAGCUAGUGGUGGGGGGAACGGCUCACCGAGGCGACGAUCCCUAGCUGGUCUGAGAGGAUGACCAGCCAAACUGGAACUGAGACACUGUCCCGACGCCUACGGGGGUCAUCAGUGGGGAAUAUUGCACAAUGGGCGCAAGCCUGAUGCAGCCAUGCCGCGUGUGUUAAGAAGGCCUUCGGGUUGUAAAGCACUUUCAGCGGGGAGGCGUUACCCGCAGAAGAAGCACCGGCUAACUCCGUGCCAGCAGCCGCGGUAAUAC